CCGUCCCCAGCCGAGGGGACACGUCCUCCUUCGCCACGCCCCAAGACACCAUCGUCCGCUCGCUGGCCGACUGGGAACGCAAACAGGAGCUGCUGGAGAGACAGGCAACGCCACAGAAAGGGAACUCUGACGACUGGAAGCGCAGAGAGAACGACCGCACCAGCGACAUCAGCACUGCGGACGACAGCAUGAAAACUGCAAGAAGCUCCUUCAGUCAAAGCGCGAGUCAGGCGGACACGCUGGGUCACAGUUUGCAGAAUGGCCAGAAGCCUCCGUCAGCGCAAACCAAAGUGUCCUCUCCAGCCAGUAAAGCCCCGGGGCCGACGUCGGAGAGCGGCAGGCAGAGCCGGCGGAGUGGCCCUCUCGAUAAUAACAAAGGCAGCAGCUCAUCAUCAUCAAAGCCCGCCGCAUCAUCCCACCACCACCACCACCACCAUCCCGCACCCGCAGACACGCUGCCCCCUCUCCAAACAGGUACUGCAUCACAAACAGUCCCCCCACACUUUCCCUCGCUGUCAUUUUCUG
rnacentral:lncRNA from 1 species